UAUCAUAUUGUUUCUCAUAUGCAGUAUAUCAGUGAUUUUCUUAUAAAACAACUGUUCUAAAUAAAGCCGACGUUUCGAGCGUUUAUUCACUCAAUUUCAGGGCAAACUACAAUUUGUAUACAAAGUUUGAGUAGUCGAGUCAUUUGUUAUACAAAAAAUAUUUACAUCAAAAGUUGUUUUAGGUGUGAAUCACUGUGGUAUUUGAACGUUUUUUCAUUCAAACAACAUCGAAUAAACGGGGUACGAGUCAUAUUGAAAGGGACGAUUCAGCGAGUAAGGCGGUAAUACAGUUGUACUACAUUAUCACUGGAGAUGAUCUCGGAUGCAGGGGGAUACCUACCUGGAUACGAAACUAUUUCCAACCUUUGAACAGUUUACCUAUGUAGAUCAUAAACUUACCAAUGACAUCAACCUUAACCAUCAUACAGACCGCAUUAGGCAAACCUUCCCAACACUUCAUCCCUGCAUGUUGUUCGGAAUGUGAAGUUGGUUCACACUUUUCAGGUAUUGUUCGCAUUCGGCAGGCAGCUAUGACUCCACUCGCUUUUCUGGUUCGCUUCACCGUCCGACCUAUUAUCUGUCCAAAUGUCGGACAGCUUGUUAUGGUGUCGGCCGGUGAGCGAGCAGAGCAGCCGACAGAACGUGGCGCAGACAAAAAGACAAGCCGUCGAGAGGGGUGACUCGAGGCAGGUUGGGGCAUGGCGGGAAAUGAAAUGGAAUUAGACUAAUUUGAUAAUUGAUGUGCUAUUAUUCAGAUCGCUUAAUCAGGUGAUUACAGUGCUAUCCACUUAAAGUGGAUGCAUGGAAUUCGGAAACUGCCAAAAGAAACCCGAGAAGCGCAUAGUGGUGGAAUGUUCAACUGCUACUUCGUCGUCGGACAGAUUUCAAAACGGCAUGAAGUCAACAACUAGCAAUGGUUUGAGUGCGGCACAGUGGCACAAGACAGCCAUCCAGCAGAGGAGCGAAAAAUAACGACUGUAUAAUCGAAGAUAAUUACACAUAAAUUUCAGUUUGCCUGACGUUUCCCUCGUCGUGCGGGUGAUUAAUGUAUUUGAAGAGCCAAGCGAGCUAUCGAGAUGUGUGCAAGUGCGAGUGAGUGUGCACAAGCGAGUCUGAUUCGGCGCACCGCUUCCAUGUCCUCUGGAUGUGCGGCUGACUUCGUGUUCCCGCAAAGAGUUUGUUUUAUGCUGUGCCGUGAACCGGAGCAUCCGACGCUAACGGCGCGAGCAAGCUACCUCAAUAGCGACAAACGGCGACACAUGACAUUGUGGGCUUCAUCGAGAUUUAUACCAUCGGCGGCAGAGAACGAAAGAGAGAUCCUCAAGGUGGAAAGACAAGCCAGCAGACAAAGUGCCCAACAAAUGUGCGAAGCGGAAACGCCAACAGAAAAAGCGAAAUAUAUAUUCCGACAACAUGACAAACAACAUUGGACAGCCAGCGGCGACGCCAUUCGACCGAUGUGGGGUGCUAAUUGAAAGACUCCGUAAUUAACUAAUAAAUUACAAAAAAAAAAGAGAAUAACUUGAAUUGUACUCAGGCUUUGGUUUUCUUUAUAAAAUCGUUUAUUUCUUCUUCUUCAUUUCUUUCCGUACGCUUAAAGAUAAUUAAUAGAGCUUUUUACGGCUUGCUACAGUUAAUAUACCAUUUCUCAUUCCUAUAAUUUUCAUGUUAUCUGUACAUUUUGUCCUUUGUUCUGUAUUCGCAAUGAAAGAAUCACUACAGUCUUUAGCUCUUAUGUUUGAGAGGCAAAUGAACAAGCAAAAACAAACAAA